UACGUAGGGACCAAGCGUUGUUCGGAUUUACUGGGCGUAAAGGGCGCGUAGGCGGCAAUUCAAGUCAUCUGUGAAAUCUCCGGGCUUAACCCGGAACGGUCAGAUGAUACUGCUUUGCUAGAGUGCGGAAGGGGCAAUCGGAAUUCUUGGUGUAGCGGUGAAAUGCGUAGAUAUCAGGAGGAACACCUGCGGUGUAGACGGCUUACUGGACCGUAACUGACGCUGAGGCACGAAAGCGUGGGUAGCAAACAGG
rnacentral:rRNA from 1 species